GUUAAGCGACUAAGCGUACACGGUGGAUGCCCUGGCAGUCAGAGGCGAUGAAGGACGUGCUAAUCUGCGAUAAGCGUCGGUAAGGUGAUAUGAACCGUUAUAACCGGCGAUUUCCGAAUGGGGAAACCCAGUGUGUUUCGACACACUAUCAUUAACUGAAUCCAUAGGUUAAUGAGGCGAACCGGGGGAACUGAAACAUCUAAGUACCCCGAGGAAAAGAAAUCAACCGAGAUUCCCCCAGUAGCGGCGAGCGAACGGGGAGGAGCCCAGAGCCUGAAUCAGUGUGUGUGUUAGUGGAAGCGUCUGGAAAGGCGCGCGAUACAGGGUGACAGCCCCGUACACAAAAAUGCACAUGCUGUGAGCUCGAUGAGUAGGGCGGGACACGUGGUAUCCUGUCUGAAUAUGGGGGGACCAUCCUCCAAGGCUAAAUACUCCUGACUGACCGAUAGUGAACCAGUACCGUGAGGGAAAGGCGAAAAGAACCCCGGCGAGGGGAGUGAAAAAGAACCUGAAACCGUGUACGUACAAGCAGUGGGAGCACGCUUAGGCGUGUGACUGCGUACCUUUUGUAUAAUGGGUCAGCGACUUAUAUUCUGUAGCAAGGUUAACCGAAUAGGGGAGCCGAAGGGAAACCGAGUCUUAACUGGGCGUUAAGUUGCAGGGUAUAGACCCGAAACCCGGUGAUCUAGCCAUGGGCAGGUUGAAGGUUGGGUAACACUAACUGGAGGACCGAACCGACUAAUGUUGAAAAAUUAGCGGAUGACUUGUGGCUGGGGGUGAAAGGCCAAUCAAACCGGGAGAUAGCUGGUUCUCCCCGAAAGCUAUUUAGGUAGCGCCUCGUGAAUUCAUCUCCGGGGGUAGAGCACUGUUUCGGCAAGGGGGUCAUCCCGACUUACCAACCCGAUGCAAACUGCGAAUACCGGAGAAUGUUAUCACGGGAGACACACGGCGGGUGCUAACGUCCGUCGUGAAGAGGGAAACAACCCAGACCGCCAGCUAAGGUCCCAAAGUCAUGGUUAAGUGGGAAACGAUGUGGGAAGGCCCAGACAGCCAGGAUGUUGGCUUAGAAGCAGCCAUCAUUUAAAGAAAGCGUAAUAGCUCACUGGUCGAGUCGGCCUGCGCGGAAGAUGUAACGGGGCUAAACCAUGCACCGAAGCUGCGGCAGCGACGCUUAUGCGUUGUUGGGUAGGGGAGCGUUCUGUAAGCCUGUGAAGGUGUGCUGUGAGGCAUGCUGGAGGUAUCAGAAGUGCGAAUGCUGACAUAAGUAACGAUAAAGCGGGUGAAAAGCCCGCUCGCCGGAAGACCAAGGGUUCCUGUCCAACGUUAAUCGGGGCAGGGUGAGUCGACCCCUAAGGCGAGGCCGAAAGGCGUAGUCGAUGGGAAACAGGUUAAUAUUCCUGUACUUGGUGUUACUGCGAAGGGGGGACGGAGAAGGCUAUGUUGGCCGGGCGACGGUUGUCCCGGUUUAAGCGUGUAGGCUGGUUUUCCAGGCAAAUCCGGAAAAUCAAGGCUGAGGCGUGAUGACGAGGCACUACGGUGCUGAAGCAACAAAUGCCCUGCUUCCAGGAAAAGCCUCUAAGCAUCAGGUAACAUCAAAUCGUACCCCAAACCGACACAGGUGGUCAGGUAGAGAAUACCAAGGCGCUUGAGAGAACUCGGGUGAAGGAACUAGGCAAAAUGGUGCCGUAACUUCGGGAGAAGGCACGCUGAUAUGUAGGUGAAGCGACUUGCUCGUGGAGCUGAAAUCAGUCGAAGAUACCAGCUGGCUGCAACUGUUUAUUAAAAACACAGCACUGUGCAAACACGAAAGUGGACGUAUACGGUGUGACGCCUGCCCGGUGCCGGAAGGUUAAUUGAUGGGGUCAGCGCAAGCGAAGCUCUUGAUCGAAGCCCCGGUAAACGGCGGCCGUAACUAUAACGGUCCUAAGGUAGCGAAAUUCCUUGUCGGGUAAGUUCCGACCUGCACGAAUGGCGUAAUGAUGGCCAGGCUGUCUCCACCCGAGACUCAGUGAAAUUGAACUCGCUGUGAAGAUGCAGUGUACCCGCGGCAAGACGGAAAGACCCCGUGAACCUUUACUAUAGCUUGACACUGAACAUUGAGCCUUGAUGUGUAGGAUAGGUGGGAGGCUUAGAAGUGUGGACGCCAGUCUGCAUGGAGCCGACCUUGAAAUACCACCCUUUAAUGUUUGAUGUUCUAACGUUGACCCGUAAUCCGGGUUGCGGACAGUGUCUGGUGGGUAGUUUGACUGGGGCGGUCUCCUCCUAAAGAGUAACGGAGGAGCACGAAGGUUGGCUAAUCCUGGUCGGACAUCAGGAGGUUAGUGCAAUGGCAUAAGCCAGCUUGACUGCGAGCGUGACGGCGCGAGCAGGUGCGAAAGCAGGUCAUAGUGAUCCGGUGGUUCUGAAUGGAAGGGCCAUCGCUCAACGGAUAAAAGGUACUCCGGGGAUAACAGGCUGAUACCGCCCAAGAGUUCAUAUCGACGGCGGUGUUUGGCACCUCGAUGUCGGCUCAUCACAUCCUGGGGCUGAAGUAGGUCCCAAGGGUAUGGCUGUUCGCCAUUUAAAGUGGUACGCGAGCUGGGUUUAGAACGUCGUGAGACAGUUCGGUCCCUAUCUGCCGUGGGCGCUGGAGAACUGAGGGGGGCUGCUCCUAGUACGAGAGGACCGGAGUGGACGCAUCACUGGUGUUCGGGUUGUCAUGCCAAUGGCACUGCCCGGUAGCUAAAUGCGGAAGAGAUAAGUGCUGAAAGCAUCUAAGCACGAAACUUGCCCCGAGAUGAGUUCUCCCUGACCCUUUAAGGGUCCUGAAGGAACGUU
rnacentral:rRNA from 1 species